AUUGAACGCUGGCGGCAGGCCUAACACAUGCAAGUCGGGCGAGUGGCGGACGGGUGAGUAAUGUCUGGGGAACUGCCUGAUGGAGGGGGAUAACUACUGGAAACGGUAGCUAAUACCGCAUACCAUCAGAUGAACCCAUAUGGGAUUAGCUAGUAGGUGGGGUAAUGGCUCACCUAGGCGACGAUCCCUAGCUGGUCUGAGCGGAUGACCAGCCACACUGGAACUGAGACACGGUCCAGACUCCUACGGGAGGCAGCAGUGGGGAAUAUUGCACAAUGGGCGCAAGCCUGAUGCAGCCAUGCCGCGUGUGUGAAGAAGGCCUUCGGGUUGUAAAGUACUUUCAGUCGGGAGGCGUUACCCGCAGAAGAAGCACCGGCUAACUCCGUGCCAGCAGCCGCGGUAAUAC
rnacentral:rRNA from 1 species